AUUUAUUAUUUAAUCAUUAUGUUCCUGCAUUUUGAAUAUUUCAAAUGAAAAUACAUUACACAUUUCUUGCAGGUUGUUGUGCUGCUACAGCAGGUGCUUUUGGAAAAUUAGCCGGUUUUUCAGGACUAGAGAAUUACCUUAUUCUACGUAUAAUAUGUUUUGGGGCCAUGAUAUUGUGUAAUGCCGGUGUCUGGACAUUGUUUGUUAAAGCUCUACAUCAAUCUAACACAUCUUUAUUAGUUACAGUAGUUAGUUCGUCAUCAAACUAUUGUUGUUCGGCUAUGCUAGGAUUUGUUUUCUUCAAGGAAGUGACUUCAUUGUAUUGGUAGAUUGGAAUGUUUUUUAUUAUUUUUGGUUUAAAUCUCACUCUAUCUGCAGAUGAUAAAACAGAAAUCAAGCAGGAUUAACUGACUACAUAAUAUCAAAUGGUUUCUUAAAAGGGCCACUUCGAUAAACAAGAAGAAAAAAGCAGUAGAAUGAUCAAGCUUAUGUACGACAAAAUAAUAUAGAGAUUCAGCAUCAUUCCACAGUCCAAACGGGCCAAGGUAACUUGACGCCUGUUUUUAGUUCCUCCCACAUCGGAUUAUAUUUUGAACUUAUUUAUAAAUUUUUAUUGUGUGUGAUGUAUUAUUACUUUUUAAUAAAUGAAUAUUUUGAUUAA